CUGGAAACACACAUACUGUACCAAGCCCAUCACUGGGUGACAAAUCCACAGGUUCUACAGAACUCAGUUCUUAAAGGGACAUUUCACCACUACUCUUUCACUGUAUAUGUUGUUAUGUUAUGAACAUAUAAUACGUGUCAUAGAAAGGGAACAUUUCCUCACUACACACAAAUGCGAGCGUUUCUGCAUCUCACCGGUAGAAAUGAGACAUUUACACUUCAUGGUUGUAAGCAAACCACAAUAUCCAGAAUUCAUUGCGAUUUCAGGAUGUAGGACUGUCACGUCGUGUGUAUAGGUGGCAGGGAAGUCAGGCGCAGGAGAAUCGAACUUCGUUUGAAUGGAGUAGUUUAAUAACUUAAACAAACACAGCCCCAAAACCAUUUGACAUAAAUAAAAACAAAGAGGGUACGAGGACCCGUCGCCCACCAAUACAAACAACACGAGCAUGAACAAAAACAAUCUCUAACAAGGGCAUGAGGGGAAACAGAGGGUUAAAUACACAACAGGUAAUGAGUGGGAUUGGAACCAGGUGUGUAGGGAGACAAGACAAAAACCAAUAGAAAAUGAAAAAUGGAUCAAUGAUGGCUAGAAGACCGGUAACGUCGACCACCGCCCGAACAAGGAGAGGCAUCGUCUUCGGUAGAAGUCGUGACAAGUACAGCGCCUGUCGAGGUGGACCCAGUUGAGAAUGGGUGUCAACAGCUUUGACCCUUCUGCCUGCCCUGACCUUGAGCCUGCCUGUCGUCCUGUACCUUUGCCCCACUACUCUGGAUUUACCGACCUCUGCCUGACCUGAGCCUGCCUGCCGUCCUGUACUUUUGCCCCCGUUGUUGUAAUAAACAUUGUUACUUCAACACA